rnacentral:rRNA from 1 species
GAUCAUGGCUCAGGAUGAACGCUAGCUACAGGCUUAACACAUGCAAGUCGAGGGGCAGCAUGAACUUAGCUUGCUAAGUUUGAUGGCGACCGGCGCACGGGUGAGUAACACGUAUCCAACCUGCCGAUGACUCGGGGAUAGCCUUUCGAAAGAAAGAUUAAUACCCGAUGGCAUAGUUCUUUCCGCAUGGUAGAACUAUUAAAGAAUUUCGGUUCAUCGAUGUGGAUGCGUU